rnacentral:rRNA from 1 species
GCUAGCAAUGCACAGCCCGUGGUUCAGCCGGCUAGUCUUGUGAGUAGUCGUGUGACAGGAUCCGAACGGACCGUCGGCGGCGACUUCGCCGGGCGAGCUGUGGUGCACUCCAUGGACGUGCGCGUCAGCGUCGGUUUCCGACGAGCGAUGAGGUGCGUGGGGGAAGGUAGCUCGGUUCUUCGGGACGGAGUGUUAAGACCCUGGUGCUGGGCUCGUUGUGGGACCGAGGAGAGAGAUGAUCGCUGCGGCACCUGCCUCUCGGGGCUAGCCAGCCGUUGCCAGGUGUAGGUCAGGCGCUGAGGACUGCACGCAGUGCUCGGAUGUUGAGGCGUAAUCUGGUGGUGGUGUGGGCAUAGAGGUGCCUAGGACGCUGGCGUCCAAAUGGCCGUGCGCGACCCGUCUUGAAACACGGACCAAGGAGUCUAACAUGUGCGCGAGUCUUAGGGUGUGCAAGCCCUCGGGCGGAAUGAAAGUGAAGGUUGGGCACUAGUCCAGCUGAGGUGAGAGCCGUUGCUGGCCUGACUGCUACGGCGGCGCAUCAUCGGCCGGUCCAUCCUGCUCUCAGGAGGAUCCGAGCAAGAGCGUAUCUGUUGGGACCCGAAAGAUGGUGAACUAUGCCUGAAUAGGGUGAAGCCAGAGGAAACUCUGGUGGAGGCUCGUAGGGAUUCUAACGUGCAAAUUGAUCUCAAAAUUUGGGUAUAGGGGCGAAAGACUAAUCGAACCAUCUAGUAGCUGGUUCCCUCCGAAGUUUCCCUCAGGAUAGCUGGAACUCGUCAAGACAGUUUUAUCAGGUAAAGCGAAUGAUUAGAGGUCUUGGGGGUGAAACACCCUCAACCUAUUCUCAAACUUUAAAUCGGUAAGAAGCGCGACUUGCUUAAUUGAAGCCGCGCAGCCAAUGUGAGUUCCAAGUGGGCCAUUUUUGGUAAGCAGAACUGGCGAUGCGGGAUGAACCGAACGCUCGG